AAAAUUCAAUUAUUAAAAAAAAAAUACUAAACAAAAAUUUGGAAGUACCUCAAGUGUUCCUUCUAGAUUAAUAGAUUCAACCAAAUGAAAAGGAAAAAGAUAAUAGCAUGCUAAAAAACUUUCACUCUAUAUAAUGUAAAAAUUAAAAGGGAAGUCUUUGUUUUUAAUAAUAAAAUAAAAGAUUUUAAAAAUAAAAAUUCUAAAAAUAAGCAACCACAACUGAACUCAACUCAAUUAAGUCUUUAU
rnacentral:misc_RNA from 1 species